rnacentral:tRNA from 1 species
GAUAUUGCGCCGGACUAGAACGGAUAACUCUGAUGAUGUUAAAUAUAGGGAACCCCCUCAAUAUCU